UUCUCCUUUCUCCCGUGACUCUCAUCUCAGCUCACAUCUCUCUCUCGCCCUCAACUCCCUCCCCGUGACACUUAAGCACCAAUCCACCUUUCCGACGAAUUAACGACUUGAAAAUCACCAUAUUCUUACUCUCCUCGGACCUAGAAACCUGAAUCAAAUUUUGGUUUCUCGGAAUACUGUGCACGGAUGCCAUUUCAAGAACCUUCAUUGGAGCCGUGGGUUUCCCUUCAGUUUCAGACAAUUUACAGCCAUAUUUUGAACUCAAAACAGUUUCCGGCGACCUCCGCCAUUUUCGAGUCAUUUUCCGGAAAAAUCACAGCGAUAUAGCCAUCAUGAAAGGUUGCCCAGAAAUUCUGACGAAUUUUCCAGUUUUCCCGCGGACAGCCGUCUUUCAGGCCAUUUUACGGCCAUCUCCGGCGACCAUUUAGACUCCAAGCAGAUUUGAAGAGUGAAGAUGAAGAAAGAAGAAAAAGGAGCACUUUUGCAAUUGAAACGAGUUAUGUGUCCUGGAAGCAGAAACUGUAUGUGCAAAUCAGCUAACUUGACGGAAUAAACUGUACUUCCUCAGAGUGAACCAGCUGUUGAGCCUUAUACCAUUGGAAAGAUAUGGAUGUUAGCUUUCAGAGGAAUAUUACGGACUGUGAUUCCAAGUUUCCUAAAUGGUGUUAUGAAGAUUUUCGUACAAGACGUUGAUCAGCCAAGUCUAUGCAGAAAUUGCAAAGUCUCUUGAGUUUUUCAAGUCUUCAUUCAGUCGAAGCCCAAAGCCCAAGAUAGAACGUGUUGAGCUGACUCUAAUCCUAUUUCGAAUGGGUUUGAAGUAAUUAUAUGGGAAGUUUACUUGCCACAUCACCAGUCAUGCAACAGAAAGGAUACCACAAGACCUACUUAUGUUAGGACUUGUCUACUAUACAAAGAGGGUUUUGGGAACGUGUUUUUGGAGAGAGUUUAAGGAGCAGAGAGGAGAGGUCGCAGCUAGGAGUAAAAAGAAGAGCAGCAGCCGACGACCAUCUUUCCUAAGUUUUUCAUGUUUUUCAGAAUUUUAAUUAGGUUUUCGUAUUUUAUGAGUAACUAAACUUUUUUUCUAGGGUUAGGAUGAUGCCCUAGCAUGAAUGUUUAUGGUUUUUAAUUUUAUUCAUUGGAUUUCUAGUUUCUUUUA